AUACGGAGGAUGCGAGCGUUAUCCGGAUUUAUUGGGUUUAAAGGGUGCGUAGGCUGUGCGUUAAGUCAGGGGUGAAAUGCCGUCGCUCAACGACGGAGCUGCCCUUGAUACUGGCGUGCUGGAGUACGGAUGCCGUUGGAGGAAUGAGUGGUGUAGCGGUGAAAUACUUAGAUAUCACUCAGAACACCGAUUGCGAAGGCAUCUGACGAAUCCGUCACUGACGCUGAGGCACGAAAGCGUGGGGAUAGAACAGGAUUAGAUACCCUGGUAUUCCACGCCGUAAACGAUGAUGACUAACCGUCGGCGAUAGACAGCCGGUGGCCAAGCGAAAGCGAUAAGUCAUCCACCUGGGGAGUACGUCGGCAACGAUGAAACUCAAAUGAAUUGGCGG
rnacentral:rRNA from 1 species